CUUGCACAUCAUAACUGGAAUUCUCCGCUCUUUCUGCGCAUGCGCGAGGAGUAGUGGGUGCGAGAGAGAAAUGUGGGGACUUUCGGUCCCUGAAAUUUCUCUUCGUCUAGGUACUACGGGGACGAAAGUUGUUAGCGCCGUUCGUCCCUAGCCGAGCUGGCAGCACAGAAUCGACAGAAUGCGUGCCGGCAAGGCGAAGAAGCCGUGUCCGAGGUGUCCAUGCUCCUGCAGUCCUGUGGUGACCCUGUGGAGCUGGAUCCGGCCUCGUGGAAACACAGCCGGCUCAUCAGUCACAAAGUAGGAGCUGAAGAGAACAGUCUAAUGCUGAUAUUACACCUGAUUAUAUAGUGCUUAACUUGUGGUUAGCAGUGACAAAGGCAUUGCACUAAAGAUUGAGAGUAUGUCUUAAUACGCAGCGCUUAUCUGGCGAAUAGGAGAGCAGAAGGUAUAGGCUCUGUAUUUAUGUGUGCUGCAUUGAGGCCGAGAUCGUAUAGCGACACGUCUUUAUUUUGGUGAAGUGCAUGCCUCCUCGGGCGGAUGACACGAAGCAACUGCCUGCUGCCAUCAUGUGCCUAAUGUACUUAAAGCGAGCAAUAAAGAGAGAAUUUAGUUUCGCACGUCGCCCCCUUCGUCUUGUUUAACUCGUCGCUGUUCGGCUGUUACGCAGCGUAGCUCGGCUAGUCCGAACUUGUCAGAUUGCCGGCAUCGUCCCCUGCUCCGCAAAGCACAGUCUGCAGUGAUCGCUUCACCAACGAUGGACGCUUCUGCAGUGACGGCGUGUUGAACUGGCUGCAAAUCAUGGAAGAAAGAAAAUCUCCAAAUUGAUGUGAAAAACAGUUACGGUUUCGGUUUUCUGCUGCUCGAAGCGCCAUCUGCUUCCUGUAGAAAAGGUGUCAUGGCGGCUUCCUGUUUUACUUUCAGUUGAAGUAGCUGAGGCUCAAAGUUUUCUUAUGCUGUUAUUCACAACGCAGUGCUAUUAAAUACAUAUGUGUCUACACUACAAGUGUUUGGGGAACAUCUGGAAAGUCGUGCAUCGAUACUUGUGCGAGUCUUUGUAUACGCGUCAUACCGGGAGGUUUUCAUUGGUCUUCAAGUCCUAGCAACAGUAAAGCACUGCGCUUCACACAGGACCUAGAUGCUGAGCAACGACAAUCUUGUGUGCAAGAUGUCCGUAUGUUACAACACCGCCCUACUCCCCAGAGCGCACAUAGAGGAAGUAUUCAGUGUCACUGCUGAUGUCUUCACGGCAAAAACUAGGAAAGAUGACUGUCAGCAAUUUUUUAAAAGGGUAAGCAAUGUAUGAAGGGCUGCAAAGGACACACUAAAUGUUUCAGGCCAGCUUGUUCUGAAUGCGGUAUCUGUGCAAUGUUAUUAACAGGGGUGGGACUCCUGCGCCAAUUGUGCAUUUUUGUUACCCAGAAGCAAAUUCCUGCGCCAAACACAGAAAAUUGACCGAAAUUGCACCACGCUGCGCCAGAAAAACUUCGACAGUGGCGGUGAACAGCGACCGGAUUCGUUCUCCGAAAAAGAGUGCAACCAUUCACGGGUUACGCACACCACGUGACGGCACCUCCCGCAGAGUUUCUCAUAAUUUUCGCACUUAUAACACUGGACUUUUCAGUGCGCGGCCACUGCCGGAUGUUGUUGCUGCUGUCGGAAUGGCUAGGGCGGCUGAGUGGCGCAGCGUUCCCUAGCUGAGGUGCUGAGAAGUAUGCUGAGAGCGCUGCGAGCGAACUAGAUAUUUCGGAGGCAUGCAAUGCAGUGGGUGAAGCGGGCAGGCGCCUGUGUCCCCAAGGCCAGUAUGACAUAAAACUAUUCCAAUCUGUUUUUAUGCCCAUAUGGUUGAGGCGUGAGCCAUUUUGACCUAUCACGAAGGGCUAAUGGCGGAUUUGGAAUAAGACGUCGCAGUAUCGCCCGAAAGGCGAAGCAUCGAUUGAGAUAGCAAAUUAGUAGACAGCUAUACGAAGCAAGAAGUACUUUUAUCGGCCUUAUAAACUUGUAAACAUGUGUUCACUCACUAAAUUAACAAUCAUGGUGUCACGCGUGCACAAGCAAACAUGAACACAGCUCACUCGAUUACCACAAAAACUCGCUGGGAAACGCUGGAGUGAGCAAGCACGGCGGCAGCAGCGGGCGAAUUCACCUUUGUGCUGCCUCGCUUCAACGCGAACUAAGUGGCGAAAAACAGCACACACGAAGCUAUCAGCAGUCUCACUAUGUCCCUAUCGCAGAUCGCUCUCAAGAUAGGGCCCGUGCGGCAGCACCAUACGCAGCAGCCACCACAGUAGAACAACCCCUCUUCCCGGUUCCCUGCGGGCGAUGGAAGAUGGCGCGCUUCGUCCCUGCCUACCUCCCUCGCACGCGCGAGAUUGGGCCGCCAUUGUCGGCUCAUCCUCACGCUUUCACUCGCACAUACAGUAUGUACGUUACUGUACGUGCUUACAGCUUAUACAGCACAUACAGCGAUGAUGUUAUCGCCCCUGGACUUUGUAUGGAACAUUAUGGCGAUGCCAGAAAUGCGCCUGGAGUGCUCAUAUAAUUGCUAUCGCAACAAAAACAAAUUGGAAUAGUUUUACAUUAUACCAGCCCAGGGUUGAUUACAGCUCUCUUGGUCUGCGGUGACACAUGGUGACAUAGAAAUUAUGUUACAGCGUUGGUUGGACCGCAUAAUUUCAGUACAUUUUCCGCUAUCGUCAGGAACGUAGGCGCGGAAAUAUUCAGUUUUAUCGUUGUGCAACAGGAUGUUUCCGGCUUUACAGGAAAGCAUGCGCCGAGCCGCCGCUCGACCCACUCUUCCAUAGUCUAGUACGCUGCAGUUACGAAGUGUAGUUCCACUACGACCUUCCUGUUGGUUUAGUCGUGGUUUAGAAGUGCGCUGCCGUAUUCCAUUAUUCUACCAAAAUUCAGAUUGACUUGCUCCAACCUGCUUCAAAUUAAAAUUUUAUCUGCUGCAAAUUAAAAUUUAGUCUGCUCCAAACUGCUCCAAAACGCAUUUUGACAUGCUCCAGAAAUUGCACCGAAAUGACUUUGGACAGUCCCACCCCUGUAUUAAAGUUCAAAGGAUAGUAGCCUCCAAGUAGUUGAUUACUUUUGAGUAAUUCCUUCAUUACUUUCAUGGGGCAGUAAUUGAUAACUGUAAUCAAUGACAUUGUUGUGUGAAGUAAUUGUAAGUGGUUACUUUUUUUCUGUAACAUCUACAAGUCUGCAUUUAAGCCUGUGACUUCCGAUAACCCUGUCUUCACUUGUGAAGGAUCCGAAAAGCUUUCGUGGCAGGAGAUUCGUGAGGCGACGUAAUUUAAUAAUGGCAUCAUCCAGAAAAGUGUUCUGGGGCCUCUUUAAACGGGGUAAGAUAUCUGGUCUGUAGACAAUGCUGUUGUCAACAUACAAGCCAAUUAUUAUUACACUGCAUGCAGCAGGAAACCUGCAAUCUCCUAAAAUAGAUUGCUUGCUCUGUC